AUUGAACGCUGGCGGCAGGCCUAACACAUGCAAGUCGAGCGAGCGGCGGACGGGUGAGUAAUGUAUGGGGACUGCCUGAUAGCGGGGGAUAACUACUGGAAACGGUCGCUAAUACCGCAUACUAUCGGAUAACCCAUAUGGGAUUAGCUAGUAGGUGGGGUAAAGGCUCACCUAGGCGACGAUCUCUAGCUGGUCUGAGAGGAUGAUUAGCCACACUGGGACGGAGACACGGCCCAGACUCCGACGGAGGCAUCAGUGGGGAAUAUUGCACAAUGGGCGCAAGCCUGAUGCAGCCAUGCCGCGUGUAUGAAGAAGGCCUUAGGGUUGUAAAGUACUUUCAGUGGGGAGGCGUUACCCACAGAAUAAGCACCGGCUAACUCCGUGCCAACAGCCGCGGUAAUUC
rnacentral:rRNA from 1 species